GGGGCUGUAGCUCAGUAGGCAGAGCACCUGGCUUUUAACCAGGGUGUCGUGGGUUCGAUUCCCAUCAGCCUCG
rnacentral:tRNA from 1 species